rnacentral:lncRNA from 1 species
UUUUUUGAUGAUGACAAACAUCUCAUGUAUUUUGACAUUUAUACUCCCCCUUAAUACAUGGCAUAUAUAAUUAAACAUAUAAAUCAAAUUCAAAACAAAAACUCCCCCUGAAUAUUUGAUUUAUGAUAAUUUGUAAGCUCCCCCUUAAUAUUUCAAAACCAUGCAUAAAUACUUGAAAUACAAAAUACGUAUUAUAUGUCUUCAUAUUCAAAAUACAAGACGUCUCCCCCUUCAUCAUCAAAAUUACUAGAAAUUCAUGCUAAGAUCAAUAAUAUGUCAAUGGUUAAUCAAGAAACGCUCAACUAACCGGAUGGAUUUUUCUCUUUUAUGGGGACAAUCUUUGGCAUAGUGGCCUUUUCUCUUGCAGAUGAAACAUCUGCUUGAUUGCUUUCGUUCCUUUGAGAGCUCUUUUGGGGCUGAGUUAGGCUUCGGCCCAAACUGGUAUCAGAGCCCAGGUGUUCACCGGGGGAAUAUGAGUGUGUGAAAGAUAAGCACCUCAUCCCACAUCGGUUGGGAUCCUGGCUGUGUGCUAGCUUAUAAGUGCUGGGCAGUCCUCACCCUUUGAGAGCUCUUUUGGGGCUUCACCAGUUUCCCCAACCAACAAUGGAUGAACCUGGACCCUCUGAACCAGGACCCUCCACCCAACCUUCCAAACGACCAGCUCAACCAUCAUGCCAUCAAAAGAAUGCUCAAAAUGCAUAUUAUCCAAAAUCAUACUGUAUGCUCCCCCUAAAUAUAUGACCAAUUAAAAAAUUUAACCAAAAUGAUAUUAUCCAAAAACAUAUCAUAUUUAUCUCCCCUUUCAUAAAAAAAAAAAAAAUGCAAUCGAAACAAGAUCAUAAAAAAUAAUUCGAUAAACAUAUUACCAAUUUUGUGCGAGGAAAAAUUUCAGCAGAGUCUCCCCUUAAAAUGCACAAAUCCUCAAAUACACAACAUGGUUAAAAACACUUUCAUAUAAGCUUAAACAAUUAUAACAAACCAACAACUCCAUUAAUUCAUCAAGCAACACACAUAUAAUCAUCAAUCAUCAAAAGUACUAUAAAUUCAUGCUUAUACCAAAAAGAAUAUCUCAAUGAUUAAUCAAGAAACAUAUAAAAAUUAAGCAUGCAAUUAACUAAAGAGUCAUAUUCAUUCUAAGAAUUCAGAAAAUAUCAUAUAAAUUAUCCAAAUAUUAAACAACCAUCAUCCGAAAUCCACAAUUAAAACAAUUAUGCAUAUGAAAAUGUAGGUGCAUAAUAUAAUAAGGAACCAUGGUAAUUUAAAAUACCCAAAAUGAAAAAAUUCGGUUUUGUAAAAUAAUGAGUGAAAUGGAUUAUUUUAAACCGAUUAUAUUGAUCCAAGAGAUGAUUUAAGAUAAUGGAUGGUGUUGAUUGGAUCAAAAGUGGACUAAAAAGAGCUUAAAUAUGCAAUUUCGGGUGUAACAAAAAUUGAGUGAAAUGGAUUUGUUUGAGCCAAGAAAAUCAAUCCUAGAGAUAAAUGAAGCUAAUAUAUGAUGUAGAUUGGAUCAAAAAUGGGCUAAAGGAAGCUUGGAAAUGUAGAGAGAGAAACGGGUAGAGUUAGGUUUUUGAUUUUGGGUUUUAUGUGGAGAGUUGAUGAAAUGAAGUUUUGAGAACGAAAAUUGAAGGAGUAAUGGAUGAAUAAUGAUUUGGAUGAUUGAUUUUAACAAGAAAAUGAGUGAAAGAUGAAGAAAUUUGAGAGAGAAAUGGAGAAGUACUGUUCACGCGUGAGAGAGAUGGUAAUGAUAUGAUGAAGAACAAGUGAGAAAAUGAUGAUUAGAAGUGUUUAAUGAAGGUUAAAAACAUGGGUAUUAGUUUGAAUGAUUGAUUUGGGCAUAAAAAUGGGUGAGAAAUGAAGAAAAAUGGAGUGAAAAUGGAGAGGAUAUUCACGGUUUUGGUGAAAG